AGUCAUAUGCUUGUCUCAAAGAUUAAGCCAUGCAUGUCUCAGUACAAGCCAAAUUAAGGUGAAACCGCGAAAGGCUCAUUAAAUCAGUUAUGGUUCCUUAGAUCGUACACACAUUUACUUGGAUAACUGUGGUAAUUCUAGAGCUAAUACAUGCCAACAGGACUCCGACCGGAGACGGAAGGAGUGCCUUUAUUAGAUCAAAACCAAUCGGUGGCGCGGCCUCGCGGUCGUGUCAUCGUACAACAUGGUGAAUCUGAAUAACGUUUGCUGAUCGCACGGUCUAGCACCGGCGACGCAUCUUUCAAAUGUCUGCCUUAUCAACUGUCGAUGGUAGGUUCUGCGCCUACCAUGGUUGUAACGGGUAACGGGGAAUCAGGGUUCGAUUCCGGAGAGGGAGCCUGAGAAACGGCUACCACAUCCAAGGAAGGCAGCAGGCGCGCAAAUUACCCACUCCCGGCACGGGGAGGUAGUGACGAAAAAUAACGAUACGGGACUCAUCCGAGGCCCCGUAAUCGGAAUGAGCACACUUUAAAUCCUUUCACGAGGAUCAAUCGGAGGGCAAGUCAGGUGCCAGCAGCCGCGGUAAUUCCUGCUCCGAUAGCGUAU
rnacentral:rRNA from 3 species